rnacentral:rRNA from 1 species
CCUACGGGGGGCAUCAGUGGGGAAUAUUGGACAAUGGGGGGAACCCUGAUCCAGCCAUGCCGCGUGUGUGAAGAAGGCCCUCGGGUUGUAAAGCACUUUCAGUGAGGAAGAACGCCUGGUGGUUAAUACCCAUCAGGAAAGACAUCACUCACAGAAGAAGCACCGGCUAACUCCGUGCCAGCAGCCGCGGUAAUACGGAGGGUGCGAGCGUUAAUCGGAAUUACUGGGCGUAAAGCGCGCGUAGGUGGCUUGAUAAGCCGGUUGUGAAAGCCCCGGGCUCAACCUGGGAACGGCAUCCGGAACUGUCAAGCUAGAGUGCAGGAGAGGAAGGUAGAAUUCCCGGUGUAGCGGUGAAAUGCGUAGAGAUCGGGAGGAAUACCAGUGGCGAAGGCGGCCUUCUGGACUGACACUGACACUGAGGUGCGAAAGCGUGGGUAGCAAACAGGAUUAGAUACCCUGGUAGUC